UGCUGCCACCAUGUAAGAAGUGCCUUUCGCCUCCCACCAUGAUUCUGAGACCUCCCCAGCAAUGUGGAACUAAGGAGAUUCCUACUUACCAGUUGUUCCAUGGUCACAUUUUCCUUAUACUUGUAAAUCCACAAUGCUAAAUAUUCUAUCGGAUCCACUGGGCGAACUCUUGCCACUUCUGCAAGACCUUGAGUUAAACAGGCCCCAAGGUGCUUUUGAAGAUAUAUUGACUCCAUUUCUAACUCCUAAAAAGCAUCUUGGCUCAACAUAAGAAAGCCCUUUCCCACAGAAACAGCUGCCUCCAGCGUGAAGAAGGUGCCACAGAGAUGGAAGGAGAUUCCUUACCCACACCUGGGAGACAGCUAGCCAGCCAGCCAGCCAACUGGGCGGGGGCACCCGGGCAGGGGUGCCAGAUACAGUAUUGUAUCUGGCAACCUCCCGGGGCGCUCAGUGUGGUUUUCCCACCCGGGAGUCUGGAAGGGUCUCCCGCAGCCCGCAGGAGACGCAGCGCUCCCCGCUCAGGGGGAGCAGGAGGACAGCUGGCCGCUUUCGGGAGCCCCAGGCGCGAAGCGGCCUCUCUCCGCCUCAGGCUGCCAGGAUGGAAACUAACUACCUGAAGAGGUGCUUUGGAAAUUGCCUGGCCCAGGCACUGGCAGAGGUGGCGAAGGUUCGGCCCAGUGACCCAAUAGAAUACCUGGCUCACUGGCUUUAUCAUUACAGGAAAACAGCAAAAGCAAAAGAAGAGAAUAGGGAAAAGAAGAUCCACCUGCAGGAGGAAUAUGACAGUAGCCUCAAGGAAAUGGAAAUGACAGAAAUGCUGAAACAGGAAGAGUAUCAGAUUCAACAGAACUGUGAAAAGUGUCACAAGGAACUGACUUCUGAAACUGUUUCCACGAAGAAGACCAUAUUCAUGCAGGAGGACACAAACCCCCUUGAGAAGGAGGCCUUGAAGCAGGAAUUCCUGCCAGGUACUUCCAGUCUGAUUCCAGGAAUGCCUCAACAGGUUCCUCCUUCAGAGUCUGCUGGCCAGAUUGACCAGAACUUCAAAAUGCCACAAGAAAUAAAUUACAAGGAGGCUUUUCAGCAUGAAGUUGCUCAUGAAAUGCCUCCUGGCUCCAAAUCUCCUUUUUAGGUUACAGAAGGUAGAUGCUUCUGAUUUACUUCUCUCAAAGCUAGAAGCCAAGAAAAUGGCCAGCUAGAACCAAGAUUUAAGGGGCUGUAAAAGGCAAGUUCAGGGACUCUCCAGCCUACUCCUUUUCUGAAAAACCCUUAAUCAUGUGAACAUUUGAACUAGUUAUAGGAUAAAAUAAACUCAGAAUAAGGAUUUAAAAUAAGUAACCAAGUGGCUGUGACUUUUUCCUCUUGUUUUAUCAACGUUUUGGAGACUACACAAUGAAAACACAUCUGUUGGGGUGAUCAGACCCAACACCCGGCCAUGGGGGCUACAAAGUCCAGCCGAGUCAAAGGAAAGAGAAAAGACAAGUCAAGAGAGAAAGUGGGACCAGGGGGCCAAUGCUAGUAUGGAGGCUGUGAAGUCCCCAAGCUCUGGAAGCCCACACUAUUUGUUGGUGAUCAAACAAAGAAACAGGUGAUGAGGAUGUGGGAGUUGAAAGAAAGUGGUGUAUCAAGCGAAUGAACUACAGCUGUGAGGGUUUAGCAUUUUCUUUGAAACAUAUGGCUACUUGAGAUAAUGGGAGUGCUAGAAGCAAGGAGCCAGCAAGUCUGGACACAUUACAAAGGCCACAAGGGGUUUUAUCCUGGACCCCGGACAUGUUCCAAGCCCUGCCUCAACUUUUCUCCCAACACUAAGCUUUCCUCCCAACACACAUCCAUCUCGUGUGUUCAUGUCUUAACUUUUGCUUCACUUCACAGUCAGGCCUCUCCGAGUAUUUUUUACACAUAUCCUGGAGUCUACCUAUGUCACUGAUAGCAGAUAUUUUUCUUCAACAUAUAUUAUCAAUGUUUUAAUACUUUUCUUCAAUUUUAGUAACUGGUAAAAUACAUGUAAGAUGUACCAUCUUAACCAUUUUUAAGUGUACAGAUCAGUUGUAUUAAGUAGAUUCAUAUUCUUGUGCAACCAUCAUCACCAUCCGGCUGCAAAACUCUUUCAUCUUGCAAAACUGAAACUCUACACCCAUUAAAAAAUAACUCGCCAUUUCUCUCUCUCCCCAGCCCCUGGCAACCACCAUUCUUUCUGUCUCUGUGAUUUAGAUUACUCUGUAAGUAUGUUGUAUAAAUAGACUCAUACAAUGUU